CUGAAUGAUUGGGCCGUUUGAAGUAAAUAGGCUUCAAACAGAGCCCUAAUCUAUGGUUGGGCCUAAGGGCCACCACAAAACCCUAAACAAAGUCUCCUCUCUGCACAAAAUCCCUAGCCGGAGCCGCCGGAGGAGAUGAGAUCUAUGCGGAACCUCUCCUCCUAAUGUGUAUCUAUAUAUUCCAAACCUCCCUACCUCUCCUCUCAUUCCAUCCUUCCUUCUCUUCUACGCGAAAGGGAAGAAGAGUGGCAUAUCCUGAUCAAUGGACUUUUUCACUGUGCUAUUGCAUCCUGGAAACACCACUUACAUAUCAAUGGACUUCAAAAUUCUAAUGAAGUUUUGUAAAUAAAUAAAUUUUAAUAUGUUAUGAACUUGUUCUAGAGAAUUCAUUCGUUAACUAUUUGAAUGUUUUAAAUCCAACAAAGUUUGGAAUUUAAAAUGCUCAAAAUAUGGACAGUACUCCCCUUUGCAACAGAAACCAUUUCAAAAGCAAAUAGGAACAGUAUAGUGGCCAAAGUUUACGAAUGUUUAUACCUUAAUCAAGAGCAAGAAUGGUCUGUCACUUUGUAAGAAAAUUGUCUAUUGGAGAAAUUUGAAUAGCUGAUGAAUGAUUUGGAAUGUAGAAUCCUAUAUCCACAAGGAAACAGUUGAGGAUAGUAAAGAAGCAGAUGAUUGUGUAGUGUCCAGGGCAGUAUUUCAUUUGCUUACUGCAUACAACAUUAACUUGUCAAUUAAUCGAAAGGUACCUUUUAAAAAAUAUGGUUGUUUAAGGCUAAAGCUUCUGAGAUUGAAAUAAUUGUAUUUAGUGUGAAUGGGGUGCGGUGAGGAUGCAAUUUAUGUGGACUAGAGUUUCUGACCUUCUGUUUGAAGACAAACCCUUGGCUGUCUGAGCACACCCAAUCUUCAUCUCCCUUUUUCUUGAUUUUUAUAAUUAUAUCUUCUUUUGGGUAUUGUUUUUUUUUGUUAACAAAUCUAUUUGAUUUGGGCUUAUGAUGAUAUAAUACAAAAUAUCUUAGCGGAUUUCAGUGAGAUAA